GGGGACUGAAAUAUUUGGAAAACUUUAUUUUUAUUACUUAAUCCAUUUUUUUAUUUUGAUAUAUUUUUUUAAUUUAAUUGUUACAUUUUAACUUUACUUUUGUUUGCUUCUGGCAAGUUCUUUUUGUUUAUGCCCAAAGGAAACCCAUCGGGACCAUUGGUUUUUGAUAGUGAGAUUGAAAGUACUGCUCGUAGAAAUUGUAAAGAGGUUAGAGAAACAAGGCAGUGUCAAC
rnacentral:lncRNA from 1 species